rnacentral:rRNA from 1 species
GCGGACAGAUGGGAGCUUGCNUCCCUGAAGUUUGCGGCGGACGGGUGAGCUAACACGUGGGCAACCUGCCUGUAAGACUGGGAUAACUCCGGGAAACCGGGGCUAAUACCGGAUAAUUCUUUCCCUCACAUGAGGGAAAGCUGAAAGAUGGUUUCGGCUAUCACUUACAGAUGGGCCCGCGGCGCAUUAGCUAGUUNUUNAGGUAACGGCUCACCAAGGCAACGAUGCGUAGCCGACCUGAGAGGGUGAUCGGCCACACUGGGACUGAGACACGGCCCAGACUCCUACGGGAGGCAGCAGUAGGGAAUCUUCCGCAAUGGACGAAAGUCUGACGGAGCAACGCCGCGUGAGUGAUGAAGGUNUUCGGAUCGUAAAACUCUGUUGUUAGGGAAGAACAAGUACCGGAGUAACUGCCGGUACCUUGACGGUACCUAACCAGAAAGCCACGGCUAACUACGUGCCAGCAGCCGCGGUAAUACGUAGGUGGCAAGCGUUGUCCGGAAUUAUUGGGCGUAAAGCGCGCGCAGGCGGUUCCUUAAGUCUGAUGUGAAAGCCCCCGGCUCAACCGGGGAGGGUCAUUUGGAAACUGGGGAACUUGAGUGCAGAANAGAAGAGUGGAAUUCCACCUGUAGCGGUGAAAUGCCU